CAUGAUGCCCCUCGCUUGCUUAGGAAGCCGAUCUGCCUGUUGGUUAGCCUCCCCACCUCGAUGGGUGGAGAAGCCAAUGAUGCCACCCGUGGGCAGGGCAUGUGGGCUGUGAAGUCCUUGCCGUGCUCUGCAGGGUAACCGCCGUUCCCACCUCAGAAGCCUGUGCGCAGGGACCUUGAAAUGUCAGGCUGAAGCUAAGCGAACAGGGAAAGGUUAGCGCAGAGGCGACGGGCCUGUUGGCUCUCUUGCAUAAGCUAAUUAUACAGAUUAGAACCUGCAUUCCUCGUUUAUCAUGUCAGAGGGACAGAUUGCGACCCGUAAUGAAAGAAUAGAUGACCAAUGCCUACAAUUACGCAGCCUGCAGAUGUUAAUCUCGGUGACAAGAUCCUGAAAAGAAGCCAGCCCCCACGGCUUCAGGCUGUCUGGGUUGCUGUAACUGACUUUCAGUUGAAUGGAGAAAUUUCUUGCAGAUUGCAAACCAAAUUGCGCUUCCAAGUGCUCUUGAAUUUGAAGAAAAUAUCUUUUUUUUUAAAGUGCUGCUGUCUGUGCUGAGAAAUGCAAGGCAAGCUCCUGAAUGUUUUUAGUGUAGGAUGUAUUCUUAGCUCUGUUCUUGCUUAUGAAAGGGAUCAGUGGUUCCCACUCUUGGGUUAAAAUCUGCUGAGUAAACUUUACUGCUGUAUACUUGCUUAAGUGUGAAUUCACAGAAUCGUUAAGGUUGGAAAAGCCCUCCAGGAUCGUCU